AUUGAACGCUGGCGGCAUGCCUUACACAUGCAAGUCGAACGGCAGCAUGGAGAGCUUGCUCUCUGAUGGCGAGUGGCGAACGGGUGAGUAAUGCAUCGGAACGUACCGUGUAAUGGGGGAUAACGUAGCGAAAGUUACGCUAAUACCGCAUACGACCUGAGGGUGAAAGCAGGGGAGCGCAAGACCUUGCGUUUACGAGCGGGCGGAGGUCAGAUUAGCUAGUUGGUGAGGUAAAGGCUCACCAAGGCGACGAUCUGUAGCGGGUCUGAGAGGAUGAUCCGCCACACUGGGACUGAGACACGGCCCAGACUCCUACGGGAGGCAGCAGUGGGGAAUUUUGGACAAUGGGGGCAACCCUGAUCCAGCCAUGCCGCGUGAGUGAAGAAGGCCUUCGGGUUGUAAAGCUCUUUCGGCCGGGAAGAAAUCGCACAGGCUAAUACUCUGUGUGGAUGACGGUACCGGCAUAAGAAGCACCGGCUAACUACGUGCCAGCAGCCGCCGUAA
rnacentral:rRNA from 1 species